UGUAGAGAUGGGAUCUCACUGUGUUGCCCAGGCUGGUCUCAAAUUCCUGGCCUCGAGUUAUCCUCCCGUCUUGGCCUACCAAAGUGUUGAGUUUACAGGCCAAUAUGACUGGUGUCCUCAGAAGAAGAGGAGCUUAGGACACAGACAUGCACAGAGGGAAGAUCAUGUGAUGAUAAAGAGGAGAAGAUGACCAUCUACAAGCCAAGGAGAGAAGCUAAAGAAGAAACAAACCUGCUGACAUCUUGAUGUGGGAUUUCCAGUCUUUGCAACUGUGAAAAAAUAAAUUUUGGUUGUUUAAGCCACCCAGUCUGUGGUAUUUUGUUUUGGUAACCCUAACAAACUAAUACCAAUAGUUUACUAUUAUUAAACUAUUUGCUGAAUU
rnacentral:lncRNA from 10 species